rnacentral:siRNA from 1 species
UGACUCGCGCUUACUAGG